rnacentral:rRNA from 1 species
UACGGAGGAUCCAAGCGUUAUCCGGAUUUAUUGGGUUUAAAGGGUGCGUAGGCGGUUUAUUAAGUCAGUGGUGAAAUCCUGCAGCUUAACUGCGGCACUGCCAUUGAUACUGGUAGACUUGAGUAUGCUUGAUGUUGGCGGAAUGCGACAAGUAGCGGUGAAAUGCAUAGAUAUGUCGCAGAACCCCAAUUGCGAAGGCAGCUGACAAAAGCAAAACUGACGCUGAUGCACGAAAGCGUGGGGAUCAAACAGG